GAAAUGCGAUAAGUAAUGUGAAUUGCAGAAUUCAAUGAAUCAUCGAAUCUUUGAACGCACAUUGCGCCCGCCAGUAUUCUGGCGGGCAUGCCUGUUCGAGCGUCAUUUCAACCCUCAGGCCCCCAGUGCCUGGUGUUGGGGAUCGGCCCAGCCUUCCUGUAAGGCCGCCGGCCCCGAAAUCUAGUGGCGGUCUCGCUGUAGUCCUCCUCUGCGUAGUAGCACAACCUCGCAGUUGGAACGCGGCGGUGGCCAUGCCGUUAAACACCCCACUUCUGAAAGUUGACCUCGGAUCAGGUAGGAAUACCCGCUGAACUUAAGC
rnacentral:misc_RNA from 1 species